GUGAUGGGUCGCCCCACCGCGGCAAGGGAGGCAACUCCGGCGACGAGGAAAGUCCGGGCAACGCAGAGCACCCUGCUUCCUAACGGGAAGGACUGGCAAGCGUAAAGUGAACCAGGACAGCCAGUGCCACAGAAAAUUACCGCCAAGCGGUGAAGUGGUGAGUUGGUGAACUAGUGAGUUAUUGUUCAAACUGCGCAAGCAGAACCUCAAACUCACCAUUUCACAAUUUCACCAUCUCACCUUUGGUAAGGGUGAAAAGGUGCGGUAAGAGCGCACCAGCGGCUGGGCAACCAUGCCGGCUGGGUAAACCUCAGGGGUUGAAAGACCAAAUAAGCUGGUACGCAAGCCUUUCGGGGCCUGCACCGGGCGGCUCGUCCGGCGCCAGCGGGUAGGUUGAUGGAGCCUUUCCGCGAGGACUGGCCUAGAUAAAUGGUGGGGCCGCUUCUGCUUGCAGGGGCGGACAAAACCCGGCUUACAGACUCAUCACCGGC
rnacentral:RNase_P_RNA from 1 species